rnacentral:lncRNA from 1 species
GUGCCUACGGACACGUUUCGGCUCCAGUUCUCCCCUCUGGUUUGCCUCCAGCUCUUGCGGACAACAUCAGCCCUCUGGGGACUUGGACUGAUUCUCCAGUUAGCGCAUACCUGUCCCACUCCUGUCUGCAAGAUUUGGAGCCCUGUCUGUGCUUCCAGUUCAGACUUCACCAGCCCUGCAGGGAGGACAAAGGCCCCUCCAGCCACCUCCUUGCUCAAGCUGCUUUCUAGAUCUCGGCCACUGCCCUAGCAAGAUGCCAGCCCCACCUGAUGUUGAUGAAGCUGCCUGAGGACAUGUGCACAUGCUCAGCCAGGAUCUCCAGCAGCU